rnacentral:misc_RNA from 1 species
GAAAUGCGAUAAGUAAUGUGAAUUGCAGAAUUCAGUGAAUCAUCGAAUCCUUGAACGCACAUUGCGCCCGCCAGUAUUCUGGCGGGCAUGCCUGUCCGAGCGUCAUUUCAACCAUCAAGCCCCCGGGCUUGUGUUGGGGACCUGCGGCUGCCCGCAGGCCCUGAAAACCAGUGGCGGGCUCGCUGUCACACCGAGCGUAGUAGCAAUCACCUCGCUCAGGGCGUGCUGCGGGUUCCGGCCGUUAAACAGCCUUACAAAACCCAAGGUUGACCUCGGAUCAGGUAGGAAGACCCGCUGAACUUAAGC